rnacentral:rRNA from 1 species
GACGGAGGGUGCUAGCGUUGUUCGGAAUCACUGGGCGUAAAGGGCGCGUAGGCGGCCGCCCGCGUCGGACGUGAAAGCCCGGGGCUCAACCCCGGAACGGCGUCCGAUACGGGGCGGCUCGAGGCCGGGAGAGGGGGGUGGAAUACCCAGUGUAGAGGUGAAAUUCGUAGAUAUUGGGUGGAACACCGGUGGCGAAAGCGGCCCCCUGGCCCGGUCCUGACGCUGAGGCGCGAAAGCGUGGGGAGCAAACAGGAUUAGAUACCCUGGUAGUCCACGCCCUAAACGAUGUGGGCUGGGCGUCGGGGGGCUCGCCCCCCGGUGCCGGAGCUAACGCGGUAAGCCCACCGCCUGGGGAGUACGGCCGCAAGGUUAAA